GAGCUAACCAAUACUAAUUGCCCGUGAGGCUUGACCAU
rnacentral:rRNA from 1 species